AUGAGCCCCACCUGAGAGGGAAUAGGAAAUUCCCCAGAAAGAGCCCAGGCUUAAGAGGUGAUAAAGUGCAGCUGGGGAAAGAGCCAGUGUGAGAAAUAGGCAGGAAGCUCAGAACAGUAAGGGAAGUUUUGCAGUUUGGGACAGCUGGAUCCCAGAAGAGAUGGACUAAAGAUGGUGACCCAGCUUGAAAGACUGAAUUACCAGGCAAAGAAACUGCCACUGUGCUGGAUCAUCUAUCUGUGAGAGAUCUGCGAUGCCAAGCCUGGCCACAAUGGGGCACCUAGUGGUUGUCAGUGUACAGGAGGACUGCUGAAUCCACGUGGAACCCCAUUGGCUUAAAUGAAUCUCUGCAGGCACAGCAACCCAUCCACGGACUGACAUGUUCAGUAUCGGGUCCUUAAACUCUAAUGCCACCACAUGAGGAAUGGGUCUGCCCCUUUGGGAUCCAUGGGAGGUCCGAGGACCCACCAGGUAUUUUGCUGCGGCCCUUCUGUGUUUAUUCGGACUAUGCAUUGCCUCCACGGCUCCUCCCCUCCAGCCUUGCACCACACUGUGGCUCGACCCCCAUCUGUGCCUCCACCAUGGAAAGCCUUUGGAGGUGCAACAAAGGUUCUGCCCAAAAUUGAGGAUCCUCACAAAGAGAGAGAUCAAGGCCCUCACAAUGGUCACCCGAAUCUUCCCCUGUGAGGCUUGCCAUCUGGACCAAAUGCACAGCCAAUUGACGUUUUAACUGUUUAAUUUUCUUUUCAGGGCGAGCACACUGCUGUUGCAGCGUAUGUUGAGGACAAAUGGUUAAAUCUUUGACAAGUCCUUGAAGGACCAGUACUUGCUUAGCCAGUACUUCCAGGAGGGUGUGUUUUGCUUUUUCUGCCUGCAAGUCCUGUCUUAAGGCCUGCAACUUGUCCUGGGCAUAGGCUUGGGUUGCUGCCUCAGUUGCUCAAUUUCCACCAGGUGUCGAGUACACACCUCGUCCCUUCUCCCCAACUCCUCUUUCUGUCCCGACAACAUAUGAUACCAUGUGGCUUCUGCAGUCGAAAUUAAUCCCCCAGCUGCCCCUAGGUUUUUGCCUUUCAGCUUUUCAUACUCGGCAUACAGGUCUAACAAAUCCUGCCAAGUCUGCACUUUCUUCCGAAGCUCCACCACUGAACCCCAGGGAUUGUAUCCCAUCUUGGUGAGAGCCCUCUCCAGCUGGGAGAGGUUCCAUCCCUUUUUGCUGCCUCCCCCAUGGCUCGGGCAUCAGGUCCACCUGCCUCCCGCGAUGCCAGCUGACCGGCAGCCAGACUACUGUGUCCGCACUCCCUAAUGCCCGUACGUCCGGCCUUGAACCCGUCAUUGAUGUCAUCACCCACGACUGCAGGACUCCCGAGUCCACAGCUGUACCCUUCUGUUUCCUGAACAUGCUGUCACAAUCCCUUAGUACAACUCUGAAGGUCUUUUAAUUACUUGAGAUUUUACGUUGCCCACACUGGCACCGGGGCUUACAAUGCUCAACCGCCCUUUGCAGAGCUGGAGGGAAGACGCUAAGUCUCCCUCUGUAUUACUCUGUCCGAUCCCGCUGAGGGUAUAUACACCACAACCCUUUCCAGGCAGACCAAGACAGCCUAUGUUACGACUGAGGGUGUAUGUACCAAGGAUACUUGUCACAUGGAGCGAGGGUCUUUAAGCCCACCUCCUAUUGCCCAGUACUUUUACGACUGGGGGUAGACCCACCUGCACCCUUCCCCUGCCAACUGGGGUGGAGAGAGGAAUACUAAACCUCCCUCCAGUUCUCUGUCAUGCUACGACUGAGGGUGGGGCUCACCUUUAAUUAUAAAAUUCCCAACAUGCAAUACCAACAGUGCUAGACAAAGCAAACAUGAAAUACCAAAGCAAGGCAGUUGCGCUCUGCAGGGCUCUCCCCACUCCGCAGUUCUCCACCAAAACUGUGACAGAUUUCUGUUACCAGUCUGCCUGAGGUGUCAGGUGAUCAGGCUGAGGCCACAGCAUCUUUUGGGGAGGAGAUGACAAAACACACCAAGUGUCUAAGUUUUACAGCUUUAUUAAUAAAUAAAUAAUAAUUUCUCAUCUGGUGCCGUGUCCUUGGACUGGGGCCAGCAUAGUGUCUUAUUAUCGGACUGAGCUAGCUAGCUACAGUGUUGAGUUAACUCAUUCUCUGCUUUCUUCCUUCUUCCCCCAUUGGUCUCUCGUGACCUGCAAAGGAAUCUUCCAUUCCACACUCACUUACACCUUUGACCCUCCCCUGAAAUGCCUUGUGAUGCUUGCAACCCCGUUAGCAACAUACAGUGCUUAUCUGCCUCCCCAUGGGACUCCCUGAGGGAGGGAGUCCUUGGGCCUGUGACAAUAGGAUGCUAGUCACCUCAAUGUUGGGAUGAUGUUGGCAAUCAUAGUGUGUACUAAUGGGUCUUUGCAUGACUCCAUAGACCAAUCUGGGAAGAGCAACAGUUUACCAUACUGGCCACAGAGUCAUCUGCCUAGUUGUGCUGAUUGAGCGGCACAUGUCUGGAGCUGCACUUCUAGCUGCUUGAUGCAAUCAUGGACCACCCACCUGUACAAUGUGGUGUCAUACAAUACAAUCAAUUGCCACUUGCUCAAAGGUAGAGUCAGAAAUGUUCAUUUUGUGCAGAUUUUGCUUGAGGAAUUUCAUCUGCCCUCCAUGCUUAUGAUUGCCAGAGCUUGAUUUGGUAUAUACCUUGUUUUGACAAACAGGUCCCAGGUAUGCAAAUUACAUGGCCAGUCCAUCACAACUAGGCACUAAUCAAAUGAGCCUGGAUGCUGACCAAACCAGCUUUCACCAGGACUUCUGUGUUAGAAACAUGCUUCUGCCAUUUGAUGUCCAGAAAUCAUUAUAGGUGUCACAAAUGGAAACUGACAAGCUUUUUAAUGUGCCAGUGAUAACAGGUCCAUGUUUUGCACCCAUAGAGCAAUGUCAUGAGGACAACAGCAUUAUAGACUUUGAUUUUUGUCUGUAGACCGAUUCCCUUUGUUUCCCUAUUUCUGAUAGAGGUGACCAUGUGUGGUGCUGGCUUUUUUAAUUCACACAUCCUCUUUGCGGUUGAUUGGUCAUUUCUUGCUCAACAUGUUGCCAAGAUAAGUAAACUGGUUUGAUGGCUUGGAGUAGGAUACCUUCCAAGCUUAUUGAGGGAUCCUGAUAAGGUGGUUGAGGAGCUGGCUCAUAUGUAACUUCAGUUUUUGUUUGACUGAUGGUAAGGCCAAAAUUAUGAGCUGCCACAGCAAAGCAGUUUGUAAGAUCUUGUAACGCCACUUCAGAGUGCGCUGUCAAGGCAUAAUCAUCAGCAUAGAAUAGUUCCUGGAUCGGUGCUUCUAUCACCUUGGUGUUCACAUGCAGAUGGGAAAACUUGAAAAACUUUCUAUUGUGGAGGCAUAUAAAGAGACCUUUGGAAGAUCCACAAAGGACCUCCUCUAGUGUCACAGGAAAGGAUAGACUAAAAAGGCUAAGAGCAAGGACACAUCCUAUCUUCACCCCAUUUUGAUUGGAAAUUGGUCUGCUAGAUCACCAUCAACACUAACUCUUCCAGCCAUGCCUUCAUGGAAUUGCCAAAUGACGUUAAUCAAUUUUGUCUGGAUAUCCAAAUUUAGCAAGAAUUUUUUGGAGGAUGGUGCAGUUGACCAAAUACUUUGGUUAGAUCAAGAAACACAAUGUACAAAGGUUGGUGCUGUUUGUGACAUUUUUCCUGUAAUUGUCAAAUGAUGAAAAUCAUAUAACAGUGUUCCACUGAACAUAAAGCUGCACUGUGACUUGGAUAGAACCUUGUCAAUGACUUGGGUCAGGAGUUGGGCCAGGAGGAUCUGUGAAAGAAUCUUGCUGGCUACAGAGAGCAAAGAAACACUACAGUCUUUAUUACUUUGAGACUUCUAGACAGUGGCAGUGGUAUCUUUCAGUAGUUGCUGUAUAAUUUCUUGAAUCCAGACAUAAGAAAAAAUCAAAAUCUUGUCAAUGAGAAGAUUUUCUCCAUGUUUUAAAACUUCAGCUGGAAUGACAUCAGGACCAGAAGGCUUACUAUUUUUCAUUACUUAAACAGCCUUCAAUACCUCAGUUCAUUUGGGUGGAUUGGCAAGUACAUAUGUGGGGAAUUUGCUGACAUAACCCAACAACUCAUCAGAAACAGUAGAUAAAUGACUAAGUAGCUCACUAAAAUGUUCAGGCCACUGUUGAUGGAUGGCAGUGUGAUCUGUGAUGAGAGAUUCACUAUUAGCACUUGUAAGCGAUGCCAAGAUAGAGAGGGCAGAGCCAUACAUGGCUUUGACCGCAUUGUAGAAACCUUGGGAGACAUGUUUAUUAGCAAGGGCCUAUAGUUAAUUUGCUUCACAGUCGAACCACAUAUUUUGCAUUUGGUGGAGUUUGUACUGGGGUGAACUGCAAACUGCCCUAUAGCUGGCCUUUUUCAACUCAGAAAGUGAGUCAUCUAAGAGUGCAGUAUGUGUUUGUUGAUUGGCAUCAAGAAGAUGCGGUAUUUCAGGAUUAUUAUUGUUGAACCAGUCUGCAAGAUCACAUUUUGUACAUGCAACACAAUCCACAACAAUUUUAUAGAUGUGUGUCACAUAAGGAUACCCAUUUGGCAGAUAAGUCAUCACUGAUUAUUGGAAGAAUUUCUAAAAUAGUAGUUAGCUAUGUUGAAAAUUGUUCAGCAAUUGACACAUCUUUCAGGCAGAGAAUAUUUACAUGCUUAACUGAUAGGCUUGUAUGCAUUUUCAGCCAAAUAAAAAGGGAAAGUUUUGAGCAAACAUAAUGGUGGUCAGUCCAAUAAUCAAUUCUGAAAAAUACCUACAUUAUGCAUACAUCUCAUAGGUCCCGCUCUCUGACCAACCACAUAGCUGAUCAGAUGCCAGUGUCAUGAGUGAGGGUACAUCCAGGUUAUUUUAUAUUUGUCAUGGAGUCAGAAGACAAUGUUUGUAAUAACACAAUGGUGCUGGACACGUGCUGUCAACAGAAGUAGGCCAUUGUUCAUCUUACCAUUUUUUUUGCCAAGUACAUUAUACCAUAUAGAAUCAUCAUGACCAACAUAAGCAUUAAAGUCACCAAAGUAAUCAAAAUCCUGUC